rnacentral:tRNA from 1 species
GCCCAGGUGGUGAAAUUGGUAGACACGCUAGACUAAGGAUCUAGUUCCUUUAACGGGAGUGCUGGUUCGACUCCAGUCCUGGGCACCA